rnacentral:lncRNA from 1 species
CAUUACUGUGACAAGGUGUUGGUGGCAGGAGCAGCUAGGACACUUCCUGGGCACAACGAAAGGAGAUGGAGAUCUGAGCUUUGGUUGUGUGCAUGUUGUCCCUGGCUUCGGUGGGGGCACGAGCUGGCUCCAUGCUGCUACUGUGCCUGGUUUAGCGGGCACGGCACCAGGUCCCUCCUCCUUGGAGGACAUUCAGUGUUUUUUUUAAAGCCCAAACCAUCAGCACAGGUAGGUUCACCCCUCCCAUGAACAUCUGUCUUUGUGUUCACUUCCCAGGUUGCCAGCAUGGGUGGAGAGCUCUGCUGGAGAGCAAGGAGGGAAGCUGCACGCAGUCCCCUGCAAAUGCUGUAAAGAGCGGUCAGAGGUCCCCCUAUCAACUGCAGCCCAGCUGCAGCAAGACAGCCUGCUCCCAGUGGCCUUGGCUCCUGCAGAUGCACGAGAACCAGGCUGGCUGUGUGCUCCAGGUGGAGGAACAAAGGAGCCUUUCAUCUGCUCCUGCAGAGCAGGCUGGUGGCCAGCCCCUGUGUGGUGCCUGGUUCCCUCUGCUGCAGCAGGGAGGUGGGAGCAAGCAGAGGAUGAAAAAUCAGAGUAAUGGCCGAGGAGACGAUAUCCACUUGACUUUUCUUGCCCACGGCGUGAGUGAUUAA